rnacentral:lncRNA from 1 species
AGUGGUGGUAUACGUCUUUAAUCUUAGCAUUUGGGAGGCAAAAGCAGGAGACUCUCUGUGAGUUGGAGGCCAGCCUGAUGUACAUAGUGAGUUCCAGGACACCCAGACCUACAUACUGAGACCGUAACAGAGUUGGAGUUUGGUUUCCAGCACCCAUAUCCAGAGGCUGACAGCUGUUUACAAUGCUGGCACCAGGGAAUCUGACAUCCUCUUCUGGACUAUAAAGACUUACACACACACACACACACACACACACACACACACACACACACACACACACACUCACACAGGAACAAGGAUGGAAAAAAAAAGGGUGAAAUCACAGACUACUAAGCUAGAGAAUGUGUUGGAAAUACUGUAACCCAAGCCCUGUUACUGUACAGCUGGAAAAGUUAGGGUUUAUCCAAGGCCAUACAGGGCAGGGCUUCCAACCCAAACAACAACGAAAUUUUUUAAUUCCCAGGAUUGUUAGCUCAUCUUCUUUUUCCUUCCCACUUAUGUAUAAUGCUGUGGCUGAAAAGAAGAACAGAGAACUUGAAGAUAAAUCAGCAACAUCUGAGUAACAUUGUAACACAGCCUUCUGUUCUGAGUUGAUAUUUGAAAAAAAGAGAAAGGAAAGAAACCAUACUUUACGGCUAUCUGCAGAAUAGCCCAUUUGAAAAUAAAACCUCCUCGUGCUGAUUUAAAUAUCAUCCUUUAAUAUCUCCCUGUUUCCAUCUAGUGCUCUUAUUAUCCCUGAAGUACAGAGGCUACAGGAAGUAAAAAUCUGCUUCUCAGAGCAGUUAGAUAGCUCAGUGGAUAGACCUGACCACCUGCUUUCUAUCUCUGGGAUUCUCAUGGUGGAAGGAGAACUGACUCCCACAAGAUGCUCUCUGAUCUCCUCCCAGAGCUAUGGCACAUGCAGACCUACACAC